GGCCGGGUAGCUCAGUUGGUUAGAGCGUUGUCCUGAAACGCCAAGGUUGCGGGUUCGAUCCCCGGUCAGGGCA
rfam:Myotis brandtii contig293558, whole genome shotgun sequence.